rnacentral:rRNA from 1 species
UACGUAGGGUGCAAGCGUUAAUCGGAAUUAUUGGGCGUAAAGCGUGCGUAGUCGGUUAUCUAAGUCGGGUGUGAAAUCCCCGGGCUCAACCUGGGAAUUGCAUUCGAUACUGGAUAGCUAGAGUUCGGCAGAGGGAAGCGGAAUUUCGGGUGUAGCGGUGAAAUGCGUAGAUAUCCGAAGGAACAUCAGUGGCGAAAGCGGCUUCCUGGACCAGAACUGACGAUCAGGCACGAAAGCGUGGGGAGCAAACAGG